rnacentral:rRNA from 1 species
UACGUAGGGUGCAAGCGUUAAUCGGAAUUACUGGGCGUAAAGCGUGCGCAGGCGGUUUUGUAAGACUGUCGUGAAAUCCCCGGGCUCAACCUGGGAAUGGCGAUGGAUACUGGCUCGCUAGAGUGCGGUAGAGGAGAGUGGAAUUCCCGGUGUAGCAGUGAAAUGCGUAGAGAUCGGGAGGAACAUCAGUUGCGAAGGCGGCUCUCUGGACCAGCACUGACACUGAGGCACGAAAGCGUGGGGAGCAAACAGG